GAUGAACGCUGGCGGUAGGCCUAACACAUGCAAGUCGAACGGCAGCACAGGAGAGCUUGCUCUCUGGGUGGCGAGUGGCGGACGGGUGAGGAGUACAUCGGAAUCUACUCUGUCGUGGGGGAUAACGUAGGGAAACUUACGCUAAUACCGCAUACGACCUACGGGUGAAAGCAGGGGACCUUCGGGCCUUGCGCGAUUGAAUGAGCCGAUGUCGGAUUAGCUAGUUGGCGGGGUAAAGGCCCACCAAGGCGACGAUCCGUAGCUGGUCUGAGAGGAGGAUCAGCCACACUGGAACUGAGACACGGUCCAGACUCCUACGGGAGUCAGCAGUGGGGAAUAUUGGACAAUUGGCGCAAGCCUGAUCCAGCCAUACCGCGUGGGUGAAGAAGGCCUUCGGGUUGUAAAGCCCUUUUGUUGGGAAAGAAAUCCAGCUGGCUAAUACCCGGUUGGGAUGACGGUACCCAAAGAAUAAGCACCGGCUAACUUCGUGCCAGCAGCCGCGGUAA
rnacentral:rRNA from 1 species